GGUAGCGAAAUUCCUUGUCGGGUAAGUUCCGACCUGCACGAAUGGUGUAACCAUGGCCUCGCUGUCUCCACCCGAGACUCAGUGAAAUUGAAAUUGCAGUGAAGAUGCUGUGUACCCGCACCUAGACGGAAAGACCCCGUGAACCUUUACUACAGCUUGGCACUGAACAUUGACCCUACAUGUGUAGGAUAGGUGGGAGACUAUGAAGCAUUGUCGCUAGAUGAUGUGGAGUCUACCUUGAAAUACCACCCUUGUACGUUUGAUGUUCUAACAUUGCGCCCUAAUCGGGCGUGUGGACAGUGUCUGGUGGGUAGUUUGACUGGGGCGGUCUCCUCCCAAAGCGUAACGGAGGAGCACGAAGGUUGGCUAAUCCUGGUCGGACAUCAGGAGGUUAGUGCAAUGGCAUAAGCCAGCUUAACUGCGAGACAGACACGUCGAGCAGGUACGAAAGUAGGUCAUAGUGAUCCGGUGGUUCUGAAUGGAAGGGCCAUCGCUCAACGGAUAAAAGGUACUCCGGGGAUAACAGGCUGAUACCGCCCAAGAGUUCAUAUCGACGGCGGUGUUUGGCACCUCGAUGUCGGCUCAUCACAUCCUGGGGCUGAAGUCGGUCCCAAGGGUAUGGCUGUUCGCCAUUUAAAGUGGUACGCGAGCUGGGUUUAGAACGUCGUGAGACAGUUCGGUCCCUAUCUGGUGUGGGCGUUGGAUGAUUGAUGGGAGCUGCUCCUAGUACGAGAGGACCGGAGUGGACGAACCGCUGGUGUUCGGGUUGUCAUGCCAAUGGCAUUGCCCGGUAGCUACGUUCGGAAUCGAUAACCGCUGAAAGCAUCUAAGCGGGAAGCGAGCCCAGAGAUGAGUCAUCCCAGACAGUUUAACUGUCCUGAAGGGUUGUUGUAGACUACAACGUUGAUAGGCAGGGUGUGGAAGCGUCGUAAGGCGUUAAGCUAACCUGUACUAAUUGCCCGUGCGGCUUAACC
rnacentral:rRNA from 1 species